rnacentral:lncRNA from 1 species
AGGGGGAGGCUCGGGCGUGCAGUGAAAGAAAAGCACAAGUCAGGAAAGAUCGAGAACGAGGGUGACCGGACUGACACCGCGCGGGUGGCCCCGUGCUCGGUGGCGGGAUCCACGGAUGCCACAGGAGGUGAUUGUGCGGCAGGCAGACUGCGAGCCUGGAAGAAGUCGCCGCCGAGGCGGCAGCGAAGAGACCCGCGAGAGUGUUUGUGUCCGCGAGCGCGGAGUAAAUCGCGAGCGUGGGCUCCCGAAUGAAAGCGGCACGCAGGCGGCGGGAACUCGCCUCAGAAAGUACGGCUUGGCGUAGAACUUGAAGUCCACCCCCUCGAAGUACACGUCGAACUCAGAGGCGCGCGCGUGGGGCACGCGGAUGGCGACGGUGAGGAAGUCGCAGUCCUGGGUCAGCUCGAACGCAGGAGUAAGCAUCGCUGCGCGCGCCUGAAGCCAACACAGCCCCGCUAGGCACACGAUCAGUUCCCCCGCGCGACAGACCCACGCCGUACCACAGCGCUUCCGGACGGAGGCGGAAGUGAGUGCGUGUGGGGGCCGGAAGUCCCGCCCUGCGCCAGUCUCCUUGGAGACGGGACGCUUUCGCUAGCUGGGCGGAGUUUUUAAACAGAUUGAGAAAGAUGCCCUGCAGGCUUGUUAUGAAACUUCAAUUAAGGGAAAUUUUUCGAAGAACUGGAACUCUAACCGGGACGUUUACGGACUAACGGGAACACGAAGUCGCCUUAGACUCAUUAACGUCUAUGGGGAGACUUAGAAAUUAUUUAACUGCCUUGUGGUUUGUUUUUUUUUAAGUCAACAAAGUGGUUUUGAAUUUC